rnacentral:rRNA from 1 species
GACGAACGCUGGCGGCGUGCUUAACACAUGCAAGUCGAACGGUGAAAGCGGAGCUUGCUCCGCUGGAUCAGUGGCGAACGGGUGAGUAACACGUGGGCAACCUGCCCCUCACUUCGGGAUAACUCCGGGAAACCGGGGCUAAUACCGGAUAUGACCUCCUUGGGCAUCCUUGGAGGUGGAAAGUUUUUCGGUGAGGGAUGGGCCCGCGGCCUAUCAGCUUGUUGGUGAGGUAGUGGCUCACCAAGGCGACGACGGGUAGCCGGCCUGAGAGGGUGACCGGCCACACUGGGACUGAGAUACGGCCCAGACUCCUACGGGAGGCAGCAGUGGGGAAUAUUGCACAAUGGGCGCGAGCCUGAUGCAGCGACGCCGCGUGAAGGAUGACGGCCUUCGGGUUGUAAACCUCUUUCAGCACAGACGAAGCGCAAGUGACGGUAUGUGCAGAAGAAGGACCGGCCAACUACGUGCCAGCAGCCGCCGUAA